GUGUCAGCAGCCGCGGUAAUACGUAGGGGGCGAGCGUUGUCCGGAAUCACUGGGCGUAAAGGGCGCGUAGGCGGUCAGCUAAGUCUGGUGUCAAAGCCCACGGCUUAACCGUGGAGGGGCACUGGAAACUGGCUGACUUGAGUGCAGGAGAGGGAAGCGGAAUUCCACGUGUAGCGGUGAAAUGCGUAGAGAUGUGGAGGAACACCAGUGGCGAAGGCGGCUUCCUGGUCUGUCACUGACGCUGAGGCGCGAGAGCGUGGGGAGCGAACAGGAUUAGAUACCCUGGUAGUCCACGCCGUAAACGCUGAGUGCUAGGUGUUGGGGGUUCAUACCCUCAGUGCUGAAGGUAACCCAAUAAGCACUCCGCCUGGGGAGUACGGCCGCAAGGCUGAA
rnacentral:rRNA from 1 species